GUGCUUGCUUCAGCAACACACAUGCUGAAAAUUGGAAUGUUACAGGGAAGAUUAGCAUGGUCCUUACACAAGGAUGACAUAUAAAUUCAUAAAGUGUUCCAUUAAAAA